AUUGAACGCUGGCGGCAGGCCUAACACAUGCAAGUCGAGCGGAUGAAGGGAGCUUUCUCCUGGAUUCAGCGGCGGACGGGUGAGUAAUGCCUAGGAAUCUGCCUGGUAGUGGGGGAUAACGUCCGGAAACGGGCGCUAAUACCGCAUACGUCCUGAUGGAGAAAGUGGGGGAUCUUCGGACCUCACGCUAUCAGAUGAGCCUAGGUCGGAUUAGCUAGUUGGUGGGGUAAAGGCCUACCAAGGCGACGAUCCGUAACUGGUCUGAGAGGAUGAUCAGUCACACUGGAACUGAGACACGGUCCAGACUCCUACGGGAGGCAGCAGUGGGGAAUAUUGGACAAUGGGCGAAAGCCUGAUCCAGCCAUGCCGCGUGUGUGAAGAAGGUCUUCGGAUUGUAAAGCACUUUAAGUUGGGAGGAAGGGCAGUAAGUUAAUACCUUGCUGUUUUGACGUUACCAACAGAAUAAGCACCGGCUAACUUCGUG
rnacentral:rRNA from 1 species